rnacentral:rRNA from 1 species
UACGAAGGGGGCUAGCGUUGUUCGGAAUUACUGGGCGUAAAGCGCGCGCAGGCGGCUAUCCAAGUCAGUGGUGAAAGCCCGGAGCUCAACUCCGGAACUGCCAUUGAAACUGUUUAGCUUGAGGAUGAGAGAGGUGAGUGGAAUUCCCAGUGUAGAGGUGAAAUUCGUAGAUAUUGGGAAGAACACCGGUGGCGAAGGCGGCUCACUGGCUCAUUACUGACGCUCGAGGCGCGAUAGCGUGGGGAUCAAACAGG